UACCAAGCACCCCACUACUCCCUUAACUUUCCGCGUCCCUUCGCCCAACUCCAUAUGCUUCAGAAGGUUCCCCAGAACACAUUUGCAUAUAGAGUCUCUACUCUCUUACGCUCCCUUGUCCAUCUCGUAUGGAUGCUACAGCUCCCACAAGUACUUAUUCUGCUACGACUGCUUCUAACUCCGGAAAUCGUCCUCAAUCAUCAACCCCAGUUCGCUACUUCCGUUGCUCUUGCUUCAGGCGCUGCUGUCGCUGCUUCUGCUGCUUCUACUCCUUCCCUUAAUCACAAAUCAAUUGAGAAAACUCUGAUUCUUGAUCUUUCUGCCUUUAAGUGGCACAUUGAAUUCCAGUGAUGCCUUGAGGAUGGUAAAAUGCUGAUUUUGCACCACUUUUGCAUAAUCAGUACCAGAGAAGCUCACUACGCUGCAAGUAUGCGAGGCGUCUGCAUCAAGACUACAUAGAUGGCGUAAAAAUUUAUCUAAGCAGCAGGAUUGGCAGUCUUAUGUGUUUCUCUUCCAUUAGACAUCUAAAAAUGUAGUUUAAAAACCAUAUAUAACAUGUAAUCUUGCUUUUUGUGGAUCAGAGAUUACUACCAUUGUAAAGGUUACCUGCUUAGUUUCCUUCUAUGCAUCAUGUAUGAAGUUGUCAGGCCCCACUUUAGGCAUUUGGCCAUGAUUGAAAUUGUCAACAUGUUAGAUGCAUAGGAUAGCAGCUAUUAGUUUUCAAAUUUGUCGUCCUUCAAUUCACCAUAUAGUUGCUACAAGUUUUCUGUUACACCUACAAGUUGUAAACAAGUCUGCAUAUUCUCUAGAACACGAUGAAUACAAUUACCAAUGAGAAUCUCCUUCUGGCAGCG